CAAAAUGUAGAGGCUUAAAAAACAAACUUUUUUUUUUUUUGACAGUUUCUUUUGAUUAGGAAUCUGGGCAUAGCUUAGCUAGGUGCCCCUGGUUCCAGGUCAAGGUGUUGGCCAGGGUGCAGUCAUCCCCAGUCUUGAAUAAGGGAGAUUCUUCUUCCAAGCUCAUUCAACAGAGUUGUUGGUAGGCCUCAGGUUCUUACUGUGGCCAAAGACAUCCUUUCCUUGCCAUGCAGGUCUCUCCAUAAGGCAGCUCACAACAUGCUGUCUACCCUCGCAAUGAGUGAGAGAGAACAUGAGAAGGUGCCCAAGACAGAAGCUACGGUCUUUUUAUAACCUCAUGUCAGAAGCAAUAUCCUGUCAUUUGUGCUGUAUUAAAUUAGUUAGAAGUGAGUCAGUAGCUCUAGCCCACAGUCAACUGGAGGUGAUUACACCAAGGAGUGAAUACCAGAAGUUUUAGUACACGUGCUACCGAAGUGAGCACAGGAGUCACAGAAUCCGAAGCAGGCUCCAGGCUCCAAGCUGUCAGCAUAGAGCCUAACUUGGAGCUAGAACCCAUGGACCACGAGAUCAUGACCUGAGCUGAAAUUGGAUGCUUAACUGACUGAGUCAUCCAGUCACCUCAAAUGUAAACUAUUAUUAAUAGUGUAAACGUGUAGUAAGUUUUUGUUAACCUCACUCUAUACCUGUUCAAGUCCCCCUUGCUCUUGGUCUCAUCCUUCUGUCUGUUGCCUCCUCCUUUCCUUAAUAAGUGUAAAUGGCUUGGCCCCCACUUGGGCUCUUUUCACCUCCUCCAUUGUCCUUCUCUUCAACCUUCCUAACCCCGGUUUAAUGCGGCUGUCUCCUCCAUACCUAUACCAUGGCUGCAGAGCUCUGCGAAGAUGAUAUCUAUUGUACAACUUGCAUUUCUCCUACAUCAGUUCAUCCCUCAGUGUGUCCUGCAACUAUUUCUGUGUUUCUCAAACCAGAGCUUUCUGCUUAAUAUAUGUAUCAGCAAAUUUUAAGUGUAGUUUUUAUUUUUGAUAUUGUACUAUUUUGAAUAAAUAUUUUCAAAGUCA